rnacentral:rRNA from 1 species
UACGAAGGGUGCAAGCGUUAAUCGGAAUUACUGGGCGUAAAGGGCGCGUAGGCGGUGAGAUGCGUCCGUUGUGAAAUCGCCCGGCUCAACUGGGCGGGGUCAGCGGAUACGGUCUCACUUGAGCAAGCUAGGGGGCAAUGGAAUUCCCGGUGUAGUGGUGGAAUGCGUAGAUAUCGGGAGGAACACCAGUGGCGAAGGCGACUACCUGGCCCACUCUUGACGCUGAGGCGCGAAAGCUAGGGGAGCAAACGGG